AACGAACGCUGGCGGCAGGCUUAACACAUGCAAGUCGAGCGCCCCGCAAGGGGAGCGGCAGACGGGUGAGUAACGCGUGGGAAUCUACCCAUCUCUACGGAAUAACGCAUGGAAACGUGUGCUAAUACCGUAUACGUCCUUCGGGAGAAAGAUUUAUCGGAGAUGGAUGAGACCGCGUUGGAUUAGCUAGUUGGGGGGGUAAAGGCCUACCAAGGCGACGAUCCAUAGCUGGUCUGAGAGGAUGAUCAGCCAAACUGGGACUGAGACACGGCCCAGACUCCUACGGGAGGCAGCAGUGGGGAAUAUUGGACAAUGGGCGCAAGCCUGAUCCAGCCAUGCCGCGUGAGUGAUGAAGGCCCUAGGGUUGUAAAGCUCUUUCACCGGUGAAGAUAAUGACGGUAACCGGAGAAGAAGCCCCGGCUAACUUCGUGCCAGCCGCCGCCGUAACAC
rnacentral:rRNA from 1 species